rnacentral:rRNA from 1 species
GUCGAACGCUGGCGGCGUUCCUAAUACAUGCACGUAGGACGCAGUUGCGAACGGGUGAGUAACGCGUAGGUAACUACCUAUUAGAGGGGGAUACCUAUUGGAAACGAUAGCUAAUACCGCAUACUAGUAGAUUGACCUGCGUUGUAUUAGGUAGUAGGUCGGGUAAUGGCCUACCUAGGCAACGGUACCUAGCCGACCUGGGAGGGUGUUCCAGCAACCUUGGACUGAGACACGGGCCAGACUCCGACGGGAGGCAGCAGGAGGGAAUUUUCGGCAAUGGGGGGAACCCUUACCGAGGCAAGGCGCGUGAGUGAAGGAGGUUUUGUGAUCGUAAAGCUCUGUUGUGAAGGAAGCGGUACUUAAACAGAAAGGGACGGCUAACUACGUGCCAGCAGCCGCGGUAAUAC